GUCCACCUGAUGAAUGAAAAGGAACCUGAAAGUUAACUGGAUACUGGAGGAAAAGAAAUAAGAGUAUGCUGAGCUCAAGCCCAUUUGGCCCUGCCACGUCCCCAUUAUAACUAACUCAAAGGACUUGGUUGUACAGCUGAAGUUGGUCCUUCAAAAAAAGAGUAGAGCUGUCCCUAACUGGCAUGACUAACUGGGUCACGGAAAACAGUAAAGUGAAAUUACCAGUGACACCCAAACCAAGAUACAAAAUAAAACAUUAAGUACUGUACAGAGAAUAAACCAGAGUGCCUACAAUAAUAUGUAAUAAAAUGGGGAAACUUCAAGCAGUAUUUAAUUAAAUCAAUAAAAACAGUGACAGGAAACCCCAAACCACACCUUUUUUUGUAAAUUAAUGAAUUAUAAUCAUAUAAUCAUAUAAUUAGAAAUAGUACCAUUUACCCCUGAGUUUAUUGGUGAGUAACCAUUAUUUGAACAUGUAAAUAAUGAAACCUUAAAGGAAGUUCUUGCGCUUCAAAUGGCCCAAUUGAACCAAACCACAUUCAUCAUAAAGCCAAUUUAAGGAGAAUACAAUGAAAGCAAGAAAGAAGCGCACAGCUUUUGUCACUACAUUGUGGUCCAUGAUGUGAUCUUUAGUCAAUAAAGAUCUACAAAUUUGGCGGUCACUGUACUUUGUACUGUACUUUGUCCAUAAAACAAAUACCAACAGAAUAGCCACUAGGGGAUCAGCAAAUGGCAACUGCAGGGUGGCACAGCACAAAACUAGUUUCGGUCAGUCAUCUUUUUCAAUAAAAGGAAUACAUUUUUGGAAUGCCCUACCAAUGGAAAUAAAAGCACAACCUGAUGAAGCCGGCCUUACAGGGAUGCCGUGGCGCUCUCUAAUCCCUGAGCGGAGUAAGCAGGACACCACACAGCAGACGUCCAGGAGUGGCAUGCAGCAGCACCAGCCAUGGUGGGCAGCUGUCUGACACUGCAUGCAGGGGAAGCACCAAAGACCGCAGCAACCUUAAGAGCAGAAGAGAAGAGAAAAAAGAAGAAUAUAUGACUUUGCUAAGACAUAACAUUAAGUAGCAUGCUGGACACAAGGGAGGAAGAAGCAGAGGCAGUUGGAGGAACGGCGGAGUUUUUUAUGCCAACAAGUACUCUGGGAAACCAGUGAUCUGCAGUCCACUUCUAAAUGUCAAGAUUUCAAAGUGCCCAUAUCACUGCAGCAAUCACAGAGGCCAGUGCUCCAUGUCCCAGGGUUUCGGGUGGUUUGGGUCACUGUCACCAUCUGGGUUGGCUGCUGUUGGACGGCCAUGCCUGAAGGAUACUGUUGGACGGCCAUGCCUGAAGGAUACGGUUGGACGGCCAUGCCUGAAGGAUACGGUUGGACGGCCAUGCCUGAAGGAUACGGUUGGACGGCCAUGCCUGAAGGAUACUGUUGGACGGCCAUGCCUGAAGGAUACAAGACAGAAAUGGAGACACUAGAUAGGGGAACAGGGGACUGCUCCAUACACAGGAAUCACUGGACUAUGAUCAAGGCUUUUCAAUGCUUCGUUAAGCCAGGAAGAAGGCCACAGACUGGUUUGAAGCUAUACUGUCCACAGCGUUGCUACUGUAACGUGUAUCUCAGGGUGUUUUCUGGUUAAUGUAAGCUACAACAAAGACCAAGUGUUGUACACAUGCAACUAGCUAUACCUAUGUGUUCAUGAAUAUUUUUUGAGCAACCAUAUUAAAGAAAAAACUUAAAACAGAA